rnacentral:lncRNA from 1 species
AAAGAGUUGAGGAGACAGGGAGACUGCAGGAGGAGAAGAAAGGAGAAUGGAUUCCAACCUGGUGUUAUCCAAAGAAUUAUAGGGAUGAAAAUGGAGAGAAGCCUGGGAAAAAGAAGGUCUAGCAACAGGACCGAAGUGGUAUUCAGCUAAAGCGGAAGUCCCAAGGCCUGACACUAUUACUGAGGCUAUGGAGCACACUCACAAAAAAUGACCUAGCAUGACAAACUCUGGAAUUUCCAAUAAGCAGCUGAAAGACUCAGAUGAAGAUAUUUGCACACAACCAAUGGAAAGAAGCAGGUGACCCCUGUUGUUGAAUUAGAGAAAGCUGAAAGAAGCUGAGAAGUGUCAUCCUGUAGGAGGACCAGCAGUCUCAGUUAAUCUGACUCCCUGAGAUCUCUCAAACACUGGACCAUCAAACAGGCAGCAUACACCAGCUGAUAUGAGGCCCUAAACACACAUACAGCAGAGGACUGCCAGGUCUACGUUCAUUCAGAGAUGAUGCACCUCAAGAGACUUGAGGCCCCAGGGAGUUUAGAGGGGUGGGGAUGGGGCCAUCCACGUGGAGACAGAGGGUGUAGAGGGGGUAUGGAAUGUGGGAAAGUCGGAGGGUGGAUGGGGG